UACGAACCACACGAACGUUAUUCGGAAUCACUGGGCUUAAAGGGUGCGUAGGCGGCGCGGAAAGUUGGGUGUGAAAUCCCUUGGCUUAACCGAGGAAUUGCGCCCAAAACUACCGUGCUCGAGGGAGAUAGAGGUGAGCGGAACUUAGGGUGGAGCGGUGAAAUGCGUUGAUAUCCUAAGGAACACCGGUGGCGAAAGCGGCUCACGGGAUCUCUUCUGACGCUGAGGCACGAAAGCUAGGGGUGCGAACGGG
rnacentral:rRNA from 1 species